CCAAAUUUGCUUUUUUGUAUUUUUUCUUUUGUUUUUUAUAUGUUUUCUUUUAUUUUUUGUAAAUAUUCAUAUUUUGUUUAUAUUUUCAUAAUUUUGUAAAUACUCGUAAAUUUGUAAAUAAUUAUGCUUUAACCCUAGUUUAAAUGUAAAUAUCUUAAUAUGUAAAUACAAUCCCUUUCCCCCUAUCCUUCGAUACCACUUACCCUUAAUACAACAAAUGAAUUAAAUAAAAAGAAAAUGAAUUUGUAAAUAUAAAUAAUUUAAAUUUGAAUUUGAAACCCUUCCUAUAAAACCUCUGGUAUCGCCAUUCCCUUUUAUGCACAAAAAAACAUGGCGCGAGAUACCAACCAUACGGAAGCAAAACUCUCCCGGGAAAUGUUCCGUAUACUAUGCUUCGUCAUGACUUCGAAAAGUGAAUUUUGCAUAUAAGGCGAUGCAAGAGGAGCCAAACGAUCUUUCCGGAACAAAAUUCCUCUAAUUUCGUGUGUGACCAAUCAGCAUACAAUUUGGUUUCUUGGUGCCAGAGUGUUCAGCGAAGUGGUCGGAAUAUCGACGAGUGCCCGAGCGUUCAAGCCCAGCUGGAAAAAUCCCGUAACCAAAAGGUCGAAAAACGGUUUCUCACCCGUCA